rnacentral:ncRNA from 1 species
AAUCGGCACUAGGGGUGCUUGGUUUUUACCUCGCUGAGAACAUACCCUUCGAACGUGAUUUCUGUAUAAUAGCAGCGCACGGAAGUUUGCCCAUUGUUUA